UUAGAAUUGACGGGACCCCGCACAAGCGGUGGAUCAUGUUGUUUAAUUCGACGAUACGCGAAGAACCUUACCAGGUCUUGACAUCCCCUGCAAAGCUAUGGAGACAUAGUGGAGGUUAUCAGGGUGACAGGUGGUGCAUGGUUGUCGUCAGCUCGUGUCGUGAGAUGUUGGGUUAAGUCCCGCAACGAGCGCAACCCUGACCUUAGUUGCCAGCAUUCAGUUGGGCACUCUAAGGUGACUGCCGGCUAAAAGUCGGAGGAAGUGGGGAUGACGUCAAAUCAUCAUGCCCCUUAUGACCUGGGCUACACACGUGCUACAAUGGGCGGUACAAAGGGUCGCGAACCCGCGAGGGGGAGCCAAUCCCAAAAAGCCGCUCUCAGUUCGGAUUGCAGGCUGCAACUCGCCUGCAUGAAGCCGGAAUCGCUAGUAAUCGCGGAUCAGCAUGCCGCGGUGAAUACGUUCCCGGGCCUU
rnacentral:rRNA from 1 species